UGGCAUGUUGUUGCCCCCGCUGCAGGUUUCCCAAGUUUUUUGCUACCUGUGUGUAGUCACUGUACAGUACCUUGGCCCUGUAAUCCUGCUUCUGCACUCCACCCUGCUGCUGAAAGUGCUGGGUGAUUACUCUUGGGGCUUUUACCCAGAAGCCCCUCAAGUGUCUCCGGCUCUGGAUGUUGGCUCGGAAUUCUCCGGAACAGCCCCCAAUGAGGAGGAGAGAUAUGAAGUGGCUGUCUCUCAGAUCAAAGCAUUCCUGAGCACAAUCUGUCGCGUUUUCACACCCAUGUUUUACCGGGGCAUCUUCUCCUUCGUCACCUGGUGGUUAGCAACGUGUCAAGUGGUGACGAACCUGUUUGGCCUUUACUUCCAUCAGUACAUGAUGACCUCGUAGGGAAACGGGCACUGGGAUACGAGAGUGAAGCACACCGAAAAGUAUUGAAUCUCCUACCAUGUUGGACAACAAGUGAAUAAUGAUGAGUCCACAAAGAUUUCCUUUAAUAUAUUCACUUUUCUUUAUCCACUCCAGUUCCACACGUCUAAAUCUUUUCCAACUUUUUUUGGCCAAAUGUGCUGACUUCCACAGAGGACUAGCUGUUUGCAGGCUUGCUGCUGCUCAUCUGUGAAGCUGCACAAGGUGCAGGGGAGAGUAGAAGAAGCUAGCAGGAGGUAGAUUGUUGGUAUCCUUUGUCACAAACAUUACGGUCCCGUAUCUGAAGGGCAGGGAUCAGUUAGCUGGACAGCUAUUUUGCAAUGCAGAGCGAUGUCAGUGGGUUCAAUUCCUGCACCAGCUGCGGUUACCAUGAAGGACUCUCCUUCUCAACCUCUCCCCUCACCUGAGGUGGUUCUUCUCAGGUUAAACGGCCACCAGUCAUUCUCUGUCUAAUGUGAGAGGCACCAUAUGGUCCUCUGGGACACUGGUAACUAUCUUUUAAUUUUUCAUCAAUUAUUUGCAGUCUACAAAUUUGGAAACCUUUCCCAGUGCCCCUUUCCAUUCUCCCUGUGCCUUCACUCCCAGAGGGGGAAUGCCCAAAUUACUCACAAGCAGAGUUAUCUUAGAGUGGAAGGUUGAAAGAUGAUGUUUAGAAGAUCAUAGAAUCCCCACACUGUGGAAACAGGCCCUUCAGCCCAAGUCCACACCGACUAUCAGAACAUCCCACCCAGACCCAUCCUCCGAUAACCCACCUAAUCUACACAUCUCUCAACACUGUGGGAAAUUUUCCAUGGCCAAUCCACAUGGCCUGCACAUCUUUGGACUGUGGGAGGAAACCCAUGCAAACAUGGGGAGAAUGUGCAAACUCCACACAGACAGUCACCUGAGGCUGGAAUCAAACCCUGGUCCCUGUCACUGUGAGGCAGCAGUGCUAACCACUGAGCCACCGUGCCGCCCUGUACUUAACAAUACGUCUCCGUGAAGAAAUAGAAAUGAACGUAGGAAUGGAAAUCCCUGCUGUGGGAUGGGGUGCAGCUCAAACUGGAGUUUGAAAAAAGGGAUCACAAUUUUUCACAUUACCAAAAUAAUUAAGCAAAUUGAGAGAGAUCUGUUUGUGUUUAAAACCUUUCCAACACUCCUCUCCCUAUCAGGUGAGAUGGUCACUCUUACCAAUACUGUCAUGGACAGAUGUAACUAUAGGUGGCAGAUUGGUAAGGGUGAGGUCAAGUAUGAUUUUCCCUCGUGCUGGUUCCCUCACCACCUGCCACAGACCCAGUCUAGCAGCUAUGUCCUUUAGGACCCAACCAGUUUGAUCAGGAGUAUUGCUGCUGAGCCACUCUUGGUGGUGGACAUUGAAAACCGCCACCCACAGUAUAUUUUGUGCCCUUGACACCUUCAGCACUUCCUCCAAGUGUUGUUCAACAUGGAGGAGUACUGAUUCAUCAGCUGAGGGAGGACGGUAUGUGGUAAUCAGCAGGAGGUUUCCUUGCCCAUGUUUAACCUGAAGCCAUGAGAUUUCAUGGGGUCCAGAGUCAAUGUUGAGGAUUCCUAGAGCAACACCCUCCCGACUGUAUACCACUGUGUCGCCCCCUUUGCUGGGUGUGUCCUGCCGGUGGGACAGGACAUAUUUAGCGAUGGUGAUGGUGGUGUCUGGGGCAUUGUCUGUAAGGUAUGAUUCUGUGAGUAUGACUAUGUCAGGCUGUUUCUCUCCUAGUUUUGGCACUAGCCCCCAGAUGUUAGUGAGGAGGACUUUGCAGGGUCAACAGGGCUGUUUCUGCCGUUGUCUUUUCCAGUGCCUAGGUCAAUGCCAGGUGAUCUGUCAGGUUUCAUUUCUUUGAGAAUUUGUAGCAACUGCUAAAACUGAGUGGCUUGCUGGGCCUUUUCAGAGGCCAAUUGAGAGUCAACCACAUUGCUGUGGGUCUGGAGUCACAUGUAGGCCAGACCAGGUGAGGAUGGCAGAUUUCCUUUCCUGAAGGGCAUUUGUGAACCAGAUGGGUUUUUCCCGACAAUUGACAAUGAUUUCAUGGUGAUUAGUAGGUUCUUAAUUCCAGUUUUUUUUUUAAUGAAUUCAAAUUCCACCACCUGCCAUGGUGGGAUUCGAACCCGGGUCCUCAGAACAUUAGUUGAUUUUCUGGAUUAAUAGUCUGCUGAUAAUACCACUGGGCCAUCGCCUACCCUUUAUGGAAUUUCUACAGUGCAGAAGCAGGCCAUUCAGCCCAUUGAGUCCAUACCAACCCACUGAAGAUCAUCCCACCCAGACCCAUAUUUCCCAUGGCAAAUUCACAUAGCCUACACAUCCCUGCACACUAUGAAGCAAUUUAGCAUGGUCAGUCUACCUAGCCUGCACAUCUUUGGACUGUGGGAGGAAACUGGAGGAAAUCCACGCAGACAUGAGGAGAAUGUGCAAACUCCACCCAGGUAGUUGCCCGAAGGUGGAAUUGAACUGGGUCCCUGGCGCUGUCAGGCAGCAAUGCUAACCACUGAGCCUCCGUGCUGCCAUGAUUAGAACGCCAUUGUGAGGUGCUGGCUAUUCAAAAUGACCGAAGGCAUUAUGAGGAAGUUAUUUUGCUGAUGAGGAAGUGUUGAAGUCACCAGUAAGUCUCUGAAUGGGGAAAUGGCAGAGCAGGGAGAUUGCAGCUCAUUUUGAUCAAUUGACAGCAAGCCAGCGCAAGCUGCCUGUCUUCCGAAUGGGUGGAAAUGGAAGUGAAGUCUGAGCAGAAGGUUGGGGUAGCUAUUUAAACAUCUUCUGUAGCACCAUUCACAAUUCUGGGGCAUCCAACAGGGCUUUACAAUCUACUAAGAACUUCUGAAUUGUGGACAAAGUAAGAAAUGCUGCUGCCAAUUUGCACACAGGAUAUUCCCAAAAACAAUGACGUGAUGACUAUCAAAUAAUUUGUUCAUUGGUGUCAGGUGAGGGAUAGGUAUUGUCUGAGGAGAACUCUCCUGCUCCUUGCCAUGGGAUCUUUUACAUCCCCUCUUCUGAAUAUUGGCACCUCCAACAGUGCAACGCUCCCUCAGUAAUACAGCAGGAGGGUCAACUGAGAUCUUGUGCUCAGGUUUCUGCAGUUGGACUUGAACCCACAAUAUUUGGCCUGAAAGGAUCCCCAACACAGAGUUACAAAGGCUGAUGGUGGAGAUGGAGAGCAGCCCUCAUGGUGUUUGGCGCGUGAGCAGAUGAGUCAUUAACAAACUCCUCACGUUGCUACCUUUCUUUUGUCAUCAACAGAUGUAGAUAUCAGCCAUUGCAAAACCAACACAACAUAGUAAUCAAAGCAAAAUACUGUGGACACUGGAAAUCUGAAAUAGAAAGUGCUGGAGAAACGCAGCAGGUCUUGCAGCAUCUGUGGAGAGUAAAAUAGAGUUAAUGUUCCAAGUCGUACUGAAUUGAGUUUCUCUCUCCAGGUGCUGUCAGACCUGCUGAGUUUCUCCAAUAGUUUCUGUUUAAGUUUUCAGAUAUUAAUUAUGUGACUGAUUUUUAAAAGGUGCUUUAAAAACUGAGUUAAAAAUGGUGUUUUUGAACCUGUAUAUAUAGUUAGUCUAAAACAAAGAAAUGAAUUAUCUGUCUUACAGCAUGAGAUGAAAUCACUUUAUGAAUGUGUUUAAUUAGCUGUUACAAAACAAUGGCCUCUGCUGAAAAAAUAACUUGUAGGCACCUGCACUAAACAUCACUUUCCAUACACUUCAUAGCAAAGGGACCUGGUGUCCCCAUCAAACACUCCCAGGACAGGUACAGUACAGGGUUAAAUACAGAGUGAAGCUCUCUCUACAUUGUCACCAUCAAACACUUCCAGGACAGGGCCAGCACAAAGUUAGAUACAGAGUAAAGCUCCAUUGACACUGCCCCCCAUCAAACUGUCCCAGGGCAGGUUCAUCACACGAUUGGAUUCUAAGUAAAGCUGUCUCUAUGCUGUCUUAACGAUGUACCUGAACCAGAAUUCUGUAUUGAGGCAACCCAAACUCGUUUUGUGUUGGACUUUUCCUGACGAGAGCUCUAUCAUAUCAGCAUCAUAAGGUUUUUUAUUGUUGAAAAAGUAACUGAAAUUGUGACCAUUAAAUAAGGCAUCCUCUCCCUGUUUUGUAUCUGCCUCCUGCAUCUCUCCCUCACGCUUUUCUCAUACCAUUUACUCCUGCAACCUUUUCUCUUCUCAGCCCUUUUCUACUAUCAUCCCCACUCUCUUUCACAACUCCAUUUCCCUAAUUAAAAGACAUGGUCGAGGCAAUUGCCAUAAUUGUAAAUCCACACACCUCUCACACCCCCUUUUAUUGCGGCUAACUGUAAAUUGCUUUCAGUUAGGACCCAGAAAACCAUCUGAUCUAGGUCCCUUGGCGACAUUUUUUUUUGUUUCUCCCAGCCUGUGUGCAAAAGACUCUGACUCCAGCCUUUAAUUUGUGUCUGGGGCACAUGCUGCUUUAGGGAUACAGGCCCCUGCAGACUCCCAGGAGACUCCUAAUUCACUGAUCUGUCUGAUUCCACUCAAAUGACUUAAUUAUAAAGCUGUAUGCGUUAAAGGGCCAGUCCAUCUGAACCAGAUAUGAAUUAAACACAUGAAGCUGGCUUGCUAUCCAUUUCCUGAAGCCAAAUUUCUUAAAACUUAAAUAUCAUUAGCAUAGUACUGCUGUGCACUGAUAUGGUCAGUGAGAAUGUUGUAUUUAGAUAUUUUUAAUCUACGUGUUAAAAUGUAUUAUGAUACAUGCCUGGGGUUAGGUGGGACUUGAACCCAGACCUUCUGUCCCAGAUGUAGGAACACUAUGACAGAGCCACAAAAGUAUUUGCUGGUGUUGUAUUUAAUACUCUGGUUGAGAGCAUGAAGAGAGAGGAGUGGGGCCCAAACAGAAUUCCUGCUUCUGAUCGCCAUCUGGUGUUAGAAAAGAUUGUGCACACAUCAGGUCAAGAUUGGAUUGUGUUUGUGCUGUGAUGCCUUUACUGUCAAAUAGCCUGCUGAAACUCUGACUGCAGAAUAGCAACAUGCUGAAGGCCUUACCAGAGACCAAAAAUGGUGCCUGUGGAAAAUAAGCCAGUGCCUUUAAGUGAUCUGGGUGACCCUGGAAAGACAUAAUUGUUCAAAAAGUUAUGUAGAACAGAGUUGUUAUUUUUGUCUGUGCUAAAGUGAAAUUUUGUGGCUUGUGUGACUUUACUGAGACAAAUUUUUUAAAAAUUGUAAAGUUAAUCAUGGGUUUGUAUUUUUGCGUGAAAAAAAUGUAACAGAUAACAAAAGACCUUGAAAUUUUAUAGCGCCUUCACAGCAUCAGAACAGCCGAAUGUGUACUAACUGUUGUAGGAAAAUGUGGCAGCUAAUUGUGCACAGCAACCUCUCAAGCUGCAAGGUAAUAACGACCAGGUAUUCUGAAUUUAGUGAUCUCAGUUGAGGGGAGAAGGACACUAGGAAUAAACUUGCCUUUAUUCUUCGA